AUGCAGUCGAACGGCAGCAUAGGAGCUUGCUCCUGAUGGCGAGUGGCGAACGGGUGAGUAAUAUAUCGGAACGUGCCCUAGAGUGGGGGAUAACUAGUCGAAAGACUAGCUAAUACCGCAUACGAUCUACGGAUGAAAGUGGGGGAUCGCAAGACCUCAUGCUCCUGGAGCGGCCGAUAUCUGAUUAGCUAGUUGGUGGGGUAAAAGCCUACCAAGGCAACGAUCAGUAGCUGGUCUGAGAGGACGACCAGCCACACUGGGACUGAGACACGGCCCAGACUCCUACGGGAGGCAGCAGUGGGGAAUUUUGGACAAUGGGGGCAACCCUGAUCCAGCAAUGCCGCGUGAGUGAAGAAGGCCUUCGGGUUGUAAAGCUCUUUUGUCAGGGAAGAAACGGUAGUAGCGAAUAACUAUUACUAAUGACGGUACCUGAAGAAUAAGCACCGGCUAACUACGUGCCAGCAGCCGCGGUAAUACGUAGGGUGCAAGCGUUAAUCGGAAUUACUGGGCGUAAAGCGUGCGCAGGCGGUUGUGUAAGUCAGAUGUGAAAUCCCCGGGCUCAACCUGGGAAUUGCAUUUGAGACUGCACGGCUAGAGUGUGUC
rnacentral:rRNA from 1 species